UGUAAAAGAGCCCGCACUGGGAGAAAAAUAAUUCGGGAAUAACCUGAAUGAAGUGGCUCCCCAGAGACUCUUUCAGAAGACAGAACUUCUGUACAGGCAGCCAAUGUGCUUUGUUGCUUCUCUCUCCCAAUACCACAGGGGAAGGGAAAGUGUGUGUCAGUCGCAGCCAAGAAGGGAGCAGAGCACACCUCCUCAGUGCUUUGAGCUGCAAGAGCACAGUGCUGAAGCACUUAGGGGGCAUGUUCUGUUCCUGGCAUAUUCCUUGCCUGAAUCACACUGUAGCACUUGGGUGAAGGGAAGCAUAUAAGCAUUUGCCCUACCCUGCCUUAGCUGGGCCCAAUACAGCAGAGGGGAGGAGAAAGGCUGGAGGACUCUUCUGUGCAUGGCACAGAU